rnacentral:rRNA from 2 species
AGAGUUUGAUCCUGGCUCAGGACGAACGCUGGCGGCGUGCCUAAUACAUGCAAGUAGAACGCUGAAGAGAGGAGCUUGCUCUUCUUGGAUGAGUUGCGAACGGGUGAGUAACGCGUAGGUAACCUGCCUUGUAGCGGGGGAUAACUAUUGGAAACGAUAGCUAAUACCGCAUAACAAUGGAUGACACAUGUCAUUUAUUUGAAAGGGGCAAUUGCUCCACUACAAGAUGGACCUGCGUUGUAUUAGCUAGUAGGUGAGGUAACGGCUCACCUAGGCGACGAUACAUAGCCGACCUGAGAGGGUGAUCGGCCACACUGGGACUGAGACACGGCCCAGACUCCUACGGGAGGCAGCAGUAGGGAAUCUUCGGCAAUGGGGGCAACCCUGACCGAGCAACGCCGCGUGAGUGAAGAAGGUUUUCGGAUCGUAAAGCUCUGUUGUAAGUCAAGAACGAGUGUGAGAGUGGAAAGUUCACACUGUGACGGUAGCUUACCAGAAAGGGACGGCUAACUACGUGCCAGCAGCCGCGGUAAUACGUAGGUCCCGAGCGUUGUCCGGAUUUAUUGGGCGUAAAGCGAGCGCAGGCGGUUUGAUAAGUCUGAAGUUAAAGGCUGUGGCUCAACCAUAGUUCGCUUUGGAAACUGUCAAACUUGAGUGCAGAAGGGGAGAGUGGAAUUCCAUGUGUAGCGGUGAAAUGCGUAGAUAUAUGGAGGAACACCGGUGGCGAAAGCGGCUCUCUGGUCUGUAACUGACGCUGAGGCUCGAAAGCGUGGGGAGCGAACAGGAUUAGAUACCCUGGUAGUCCACGCCGUAAACGAUGAGUGCUAGGUGUUGGAUCCUUUCCGGGAUUCAGUGCCGCAGCUAACGCAUUAAGCACUCCGCCUGGGGAGUACGACCGCAAGGUUGAAACUCAAAGGAAUUGACGGGGGCCCG